ensembl:lncRNA
GGCUAGCCCCACCGAGACCACCAUGUACAUGGUUCGUUCCACUACAGCGUCAUUUCGUUUUUCACAGUUCAUUGGCGGUAGGGUAAGGCACGUGAUGAGUCAUGACUCGAGUGACAUCCCACCUCACCUUCCGUGCCGCGCGUAAGAAGCCCGGUAGCGAAGAAGAGAAGGAGAAGGAUAACCUUGCUAAAAAACAUCCCGGAGGCACACAUCGAAAACGAAUCGACAACAUGAAUGUGGUAGAUCAUCUAUUGGAGCACAGAUUUGAGACCCUUAGUCUCGAGGAAAAAUUUGAGGAAUCCAUCUGUGCCGCCCAGUUGAUCACCGAGGACGAGGGCUUGGGUCGGCUGGCCCACACGGUGCAGGUCUUGGUGGACCUCGCGCCGACUGCUGCCAGCCACCGCCGCGCUAGCACUGCUCCAUCCUUCUCCUGGCUCCAUGUUGUCCACUGAUUUUGCUGUCAUCCAAAGGAUUUUUGAUGCAAGCUACUACAGGGAGCCAGUGGAGGUCCCGGAAGAGGGGAGUCACAUGGGAGAACUUCGACUCCCUCCGACCUCUCAUAUUCAGUCGACGAAGAGAACACAGUCUAUCUCUUAUUUAACAUUUCUACCGAUAACUAUAACCCUAACCCUCAACCAAUCACAACCCAUUAUGAAGGGC